rnacentral:rRNA from 1 species
GACGAACGCUGGCGGCGUGCCUAAUACAUGCAAGUCGAACGCUUCUUUUCUACCGAGUGCUUGCACUCACUUGAAAAGAAGAGUGGCGAACGGGUGAGUAACACGUGGGUAACCUGCCCAUCAGAAGGGGAUAACACUUGGAAAUAGGUGCUAAUACCGUAUAACAAUAGGAACCGCAUGGUUCCCACUUGAAAGGCGCUUUCGGGUGUCGCUGAUGGAUGGACCCGCGGUGCAUUAGCUAGUUGGUGAGGUAACGGCUCACCAAGGCAAUGAAGCAUAGCCGACCUGGGAGGGUGAUCUGCCACACUGGGACUGAGACACGGCCCAGAGUCCUACGGGAGGCAGCAGUAGGGGAUCUUCGGCAAUGGACGAAAGUCUGACCGAGCAACGCCGCGUGAGUGAAGAAGGUUUUCGGAUCGUAAAACUCUGUUGUUAGAGAAGAACAAGGAUGAGAGUAACUGUUCAUCCCUUGACGGUAUCUAACCAGAAAGCCACGGCUAACUACGUGCCAGCCGCCGCCGUAA